GUCGAUUAGCUCAGCUGGGAGAGCACCUCCCUUACAAGGAGGGGGUCACUGGUUCGAGCCCAGUAUCGACCACCAU
rnacentral:tRNA from 1 species